UACGGAGGGGGCUAGCGUUGUUCGGAAUUACUGGGCGUAAAGCGCACGUAGGCGGCUUUGUAAGUUAGAGGUGAAAGCCCAGGGCUUAACCCUGGAAUUGCCUUUAAGACUGCAUCGCUAGAAUUGUGGAGAGGUAAGUGGAAUUCCGAGUGUAGAGGUGAAAUUCGUAGAUAUUCGGAAGAACACCAGUGGCGAAGGCGGGUCUCUGGGCAACAACUGACGCUGAGGAGCGAAAGCGUGGGGAGCGAACAGG
rnacentral:rRNA from 1 species